rnacentral:rRNA from 1 species
GCGAUUCGGCAUGGUCUGAAUAUUUAUUUUCUUGUUUUUUCUUUUUGUUAUUUGAUGGUUGUUUACUGAAGUAUCAUUUUUGUUGUUGUAGGUUUAUGAUUUAAUUUUUUAUGUGAUAGGUUAUUUGUACUGUGGGGGGUUGUAUAAUUUCUUUUUUAGAAGCUGAUUUUGUUUGUUGUACCUUGUGUAUCAGGGUUCAUUGAAUUUUAUUAUUUAUUUUUGUUUCCCGAUUUUAAAGGAGUUAAUGGUUUAUGUUAGUUACUGUUUUAGUAUUAUUAAUAAUAGGCUGUUGGUAGUGAGAUGUUAUUCGUCUUUAGUGGUUUCUGGUUUUUCAAGAAAUGAAUUUAAUUCAUGCACUUUAUUUAGAGUUUACUGUUAUUUUAUUGUUUUUUAUUUGGUGUUAAGAUUAGGGGGGAUUAGCUCCUUAUUUUAUUUUUAUAAUUUUUGAUUUUAAUUUAGUUUUGUGGAUUUUAUGGUGAUUUUCGAUUUGAUUAUGUUGAAAUUUUAUUUAUUCUUUUUUUAAUUUGUUUAUUUGAUUUAAUGUGUUUAUUGGAAUGUUUUUUGUAUCUUUUUUUGUAUGGUAAUUAUUGUGAAAUUAGUAAAUUUUUUUUUGUUGUGUUGUUAUUUGAGUGUUAAUUUCUUUUGAGGAAUUAGGCAAAUAUUUCAUGUCCGCCUGUUUAACAAAAACAUCUCUUCUUGUUAGUUUUUUAAGUAUGGCCUGCCCACUGACGUUGAUUUGAAGGGCCGCGGUAUUUUGACCGUGCAAAGGUAGCGUAAUCAUUAGUUCUUUAAUUGUGAUCUGGUAUGAAUGGCUUGACGAGGCAUGGGCUGUCUUGGAUGUGGAUUUAUUUAUUGAAUUUGGUUUUUGAGUUAAAAUUCUUAGAUGUUUUUAUGGGACGAGAAGACCCUAUAGAGUUUGACAUUAGGUUUACUUUUGUUUGAUGUUUGUUUUGUAUUGUUUUGUAUUCUUAUUGUUUUGUUGGGGUGAUGGGAGGAAUGUUUUUAACUCCUCUUUUUGUUUGGUAUAUUUAUUUAUGUUUAUUUUGAUCCAUUUAUUUUGAUUGUAAGAUUAAAUUACCUUAGGGAUAACAGCGUUAUCUUCCUUGAGAGUUCUUAUUGGCAGGGGGGUUUGCGACCUCGAUGUUGGAUUAAGGUUAAUUUUUGGUGUAGGAGCUGAAUUGAUUGGGUCUGUUCGACCUUUAAAAUCUUACAUGAUCUGAGUUCAGACCGGCGUGAGCCAGGUUGGUUUCUAUCUAUAGUAUGUUUUUAUAUCUUAGUACGAGAGGACCGGGUAUUUGGAAUAAUUUUAUGUGUUAUGUAUAUUAUUAAUGGUGGUUUACUAUUUUGGCAGAUAAGUGCAUUGGAUUUAGAAUCUAUUAA